rnacentral:tRNA from 1 species
UCUAGUAUGGCAGAUUAGUGCAUUGAAUUUAAGCUUCAAAUAUAAAGUUUUCUUUUUCUGGAA